GAGUGAACGCUGGCGGUAGGCCUAACACAUGCAAGUCGAACGGCAGCACAGUAAGAGCUUGCUCUUACGGGUGGCGAGUGGCGGACGGGUGCGGAAUACAUCGGAAUCUACUUUUUCGUGGGGGAUAACGUAGGGAAACUUACGCUAAUACCGCAUACGACCUACGGGUGAAAGCAGGGGAUCUUCGGACCUUGCGCGAUUGAAUGAGCCGAUGUCGGAUUAGCUAGUUGGCGGGGUAAAGGCCCACCAAGGCGACGAUCCGUAGCUGGUCUGAGAGGAUGAUCAGCCACACUGGAACUGAGACACGGUCCAGACUCCUACGGGAGGCAACAGUGGGGAAUAUUGGACAAUGGGCGCAAGCCUGAUCCAGCCAUACCGCGUGGGUGAAGAAGGCCUUCGGGUUGUAAAGCCCUUUUGUUGGGAAAGAAAAGCAGCAGGUUAAUACCCCGCUGUUCUGACGGUACCCAAAGAAUAAGCACCGGCUAACUUCGUG
rnacentral:rRNA from 1 species